rnacentral:rRNA from 1 species
GAUGAACGCUGGCGGCGUGCCUAGUACAUGCAAGUCGAGCGAACAGACGAGGAGCUUGCUCCUCUGACGUUAGCGGCGGACGGGUGAGUAACACGUGGAUAACCUACCUAUAAGACUGGGAUAACUUCGGGAAACCGGAGCUAAUACCGGAUAAUAUAUUGAACCGCAUGGUUCAAUAGUGAAAGACGGUUUUGCUGUCACUUAUAGAUGGAUCCGCGCCGCAUUAGCUAGUUGGUAAGGUAACGGCUUACCAAGGCAACGAUGCGUAGCCGACCUGAGAGGGUGAUCGGCCACACUGGAACUGAGACACGGUCCAGACUCCUACGGGAGGCAGCGGUAGGGAAUCUUCCGCAAUGGGCGAAAGCCUGACGGAGCAACGCCGCGUGAGUGAUGAAGGUCUUCGGAUCGUAAAACUCUGUUAUUAGGGAAGAACAAAUGUGUAAGUAACUAUGAACGUCUUGACGGUACCUAAUCAGAAAGCCACGGCUAACUACGUG